rnacentral:rRNA from 1 species
CACGUAGGGUGCAAGCGUUGUCCGGAAUUAUUGGGCGUAAAGAGCUCGUAGGCGGCUUGUCGCGUCGACUGUGAAAACCUAGGGCUCAACCCUGGGCCUGCAGUCGAUACGGGCAGACUAGAGUGAUGUAGGGGAGACUGGAAUUCCUGGUGUAGCGGUGAAAUGCGCAGAUAUCAGGAGGAACACCGAUGGCGAAGGCAGGUCUCUGGGCAUUAACUGACGCUGAGGAGCGAAAGCAUGGGGAGCGAACAGG